rnacentral:lncRNA from 1 species
UUCAGACACCAAGUCGCAUAGAGAGAAACUGAAAUAUCUUCCAUCAAAAAAAUAGUGUGAAUUAAGCAUUACUCAGUUAAUGACUGGGAAAACAUCUUUCUUGAGUGCCUUGAGAACAAGUACGUUUUUGAAAAUAAGACUAUAUCUUAAGUAAUUUUGUUUGUUUUAUUUAAUUAGAGCUACCUCUGAUUUACCACCUUUUCAAGGUGGGCCAUUUAUUGAUUCCUCUGGGACUGAUGUUUUUCAGUUAAGACAAUAUUGAACCACAAUUUGUGUUAUUUCAGGUAUAAUUAAAAGAUUUUUUUUCUCGGAACACAAUUUGAAAACAAAUGGGAAAUAAAAUUUGCUAUUUUGAUACUUCUCCAGUUGCAUGCAACAUAAAUAUCAGCAUAAAUUACCCUAAUUGAGACAGCUUGUAAUUAAGUUUCUGGACAAUGAAGCUUUUCCCUUCUGUACCAAUCUCUCCCUGCAAGCCACAAUUUGAAAAGGAGAUUCUGAUUUUCUAGUUAGAAUGGAUUUUGACAGAGAACGGCCUUGCUUCAGAAGAACGCAGAAAACUGGCAGGAUAUGAAAAGUGAGGGAAGAUUCCAGCUGAUUUGUACUAAUCCAGUAAUUCGGAUUCUAGACACAAAAUGGUUACCAAGGCAAAGGUAAGAAUGAGCCAGGGCUGCAACUUCAGACAAAUCUUAAGGUAAUUAACUAUUCCCAGGCCCUGAGCUGUCCUGAGAGGAGAGAAAUCGUAUCAUACAAAGCUGAUGCUUGAAGUACCAACGCUUUAAGGUGCUCAGGAUUGUGAUGGACUUUCAGACUGUAGAGUUUGAUGGGCAGCACUGGAGAGAGUGUGUUUUCACUGGAUAUUUGCAGAAGGACAUG